UCCCUGAUAGCUCAGUUGGUAGAGCAAAUGACUGUUAAUCAUUGGGUCGCAGGUUCGAAUCCUGCUCGGGGAG
rnacentral:tRNA from 1 species